rnacentral:rRNA from 1 species
AUGGAACCCACAUGUCGUGGGGAAAGUUGGCUGCCCGUGACCUCCCUUGGCUCUUGGGCAAAGGCAAGCGAGGGCUCCCACGACCCCCGCACAGAGCAAGCGAGGAACCUUGCAUACAAAUCAGCUGAAGAACAGCUUCGUCUUUGGAGGGGAGGCUCCAUGGGGAAGAAGAGGAAGCAGGAUCCAGGGAGGGACGACUCGAGCUCCUCCGAUGCCAAGCGCUGUAGGUUUUGCCACUGCCAGAAUGGGGAGACGAGCAGGCCAAAUGACGGCAUGCCGCCUCGGGAGGGGCUUGUGGAUAUCGUUCGCGCCGUUAUCGAAUUGAAAGAAGUCAUGCAGGUUAAAUUGAGCACCGAGGAAAAAUUCAAGAGCAAAAUUAAAAAGCUCAAGGAAAAGAGGAAAAAAGACAAGAAACAACAUGAGGAAGAUCUCAGAGUACUCAAGGCAGAUCUCAGAAAACUCAAGAAAAAUCAAAAAGAGCUCAAAUUCCAAAUCCAAGAAAUGCGAAAAGAAGAGUGUGUUGAAGUAAAUCAUUACAAGGCAUCUCCAUCUCAGAGAAUUGUACAGACUGAGGAUGGUGGAGGUCACAUAAAAGUUGUCAUGUACGAUGGUGAUGAUCCAAUUGCGUCUGACCACGAUCUUGCUUCAGUAGAACUUGAGCUAGUUCUCAUUGAAGGAGCGUUCGAUAAAAAUCGAGAUUCGUGGUCUAAGGAAGAGUUUAAGGAAAGCAUAAUACAACCGCAAAAAACAACGGGAUUGACAAGUCUAGUGAAAAAUGGUACCUUUGAUUUGAGUGAUGGGAAGCGUGACUAUAAAGGUGCCAUUAUUAUGGAUAAUUCGAAAAAAAAGGAAGUUAAGCUUGGAGUAAGGAUCGCAGGGCAUACAAAAAUAAGAGUUCUUGAAGGAGUAUCAAAUCCGUUCAAAGUGCAGGAAGGGAAGACAGAAAAGUCAGGUCCAAACAAAAAGGGUAAUAAACCUUCUCCUCCUGUUAGAGCGGGAAACUUGGUACAGCCAACCAGCACCAAGGCAACACAUCAUGGUUGUCCAGAUGGGCAACAUAGUCUUCCACCACCUGUCAUUCAAGGUGUAUUGGAGAAAACAGAUGAUAAUCGACCAGCUAUUGUGCCACUGAUGGUUGAGGAAAAUGGGCAUGAACUAAAUGGCAAUGGUCAACAACCUUGUCAACAAAUUACGCAAAUCCCGUGUCUACAAACCAGCACCCACUCAAUGCAACAUGAUCCAGGAUAUUGUGGACAAGACCAGUACACUUGUUUUCUUGAUUCAAGUCCACAAUUUGCAUGUCCAGACCUUUACGCGCCAUUGAAUGAAUUUUGCCAGUGGACUUCUGCACCCAAUGAAUGGAGACUUCCAUCACAAAGUGUAGAGGAGGUAUUUGUUGAAGAUGUGCCUAAUUUAUAUGUCCGGACACAAAUUCAAGAGACAUGUGAGUCAUAUAAGAUUGGUCAAGUACUACUUCAGUGGGAUAAGCCUCAUGUGGAGCUCAAGGAACAAUGGAACUUUCUUGAUCAGCUCAUGCCUCUGUACAGCACACAAGCAGUGCUUUAUAGAGAAAGUUUCCCCAGUACGAGCCUCAUGGAGAAAGCCCAUAAGUUAAUGGGCAGUAUUUCAUCAGGCGAUUCUGUUAUGAAGAUUAUCACCAGUCUUCCAAGUCGAACCACACAAACUCCUCAGAGGAGAGGCGUUCUCAUUCGGCCCAUUGAGCCAUAUGAUUCAGAUGAUGAGCCACCAGUUAAGAAGCAAAGGAAUGCCAAAUAUCAAUUGCGAUUUGUCAAUAGGGUGUGCAAUGACUACUAUACACGGGAACAAAUCAAAUCAGAGGAUGGAAAUCUUUUAAAGGUGGCUUUGUAUGAUGAGAACAAUUUGCUAGUCACAUCUGGUCCGCUGUCUUUAGCUUCUGUGGAGAUUGUACUACUUCAUGGUGAUUUCAAUGCUGAAGGUCAAGACUGUUGGACACCAGAGGAGUUCACUGCCUUCCUAGUGCAUCCUAAAUCUGUACAAGAACCACCAGCAUUGGGAGGUGAUCGUGUCUUGACACUGACUGAUGGAGAAGCAGACCUUGGCAAUGUCUAUUUCCAGAUUUCCUCCUUCCAUGCCAGAACUGAAAAGUUCAAGAUGGGUGUUGAGAUUAAAAAUGUAAGAGAAGUGAGUGUUCAAGAAGGAAUCACUAGGCCAUUUCAUGUGAGAGUUCGCCAAGGGGAAGAAUCUAGCCGCCAUCGGAUCACAUCUCUUGAAGCAUUGCUCAGAGUGAAAAUAGAAUUGCCCAAACAAGUAGAAUGUGAUGCCAGGGAAAGCACCGGCGGAUCAUCGGCCAUGGACGAUCAGUCGUUGCAGGUGAGAAGUAUACUGGGGGCAUCGUCGAAGUUGGAGGACCAUGACAACAUGGUUUGGAUGGCUUCCGAUCAAUCUUCAGCUAGUCCCUUGAGGGACUCUGUUUUUCCCCUUGAUAUAUUUUGGAGUACGUUUUCCGAUCAACCUCCAGAGAGAAUGAGAAGGGAGCUUCAGUUACUCUCCACAGAGAAGAAUAAAGAUGCAGAUUACUCUACUGCUAUGGAUCAACCUCCAGAACGUUUUACGAGAAAGAGAAGGGAGCUUCAGUUACUCUCCACAGAGAAGAAUAAAGAUGCAGAUUACUCUACUGCUAUGGAUGGCGGAGUGAGGACUGAUCCUGACUCUGCUGCUGUGCCCGGCGGAGUGUGGCCGAGUGAUCCUGACUCUGCUGCUAUGCACAGCGUAUGGCCGGGCUGUCCUCCGCCCUGA